GCCUACGGGGGGCAGCAGUGAGGAAUAUUGGUCAAUGGGCUUACGCCUGAACCAGCCAAGUCGCGUGAGGGAAGACUGCCCUAUGGGUUGUAAACCUCUUUCGUCAGGGAGCAAUUGGCGCUACGUGUAGCGUUAUCGAGAGUACCUGAAGAAAAAGCAUCGGCUAACUCCGUGCCAGCAGCCGCGGUAAUACGGAGGAUGCGAGCGUUAUCCGGAUUUAUUGGGUUUAAAGGGUGCGUAGGCGGAAUGCCAAGUCAGCGGUAAAAUCGCGGGGCUCAACCCCGUCGUGCCGUUGAAACUGGCGU
rnacentral:rRNA from 1 species